rnacentral:rRNA from 1 species
UACGAAGGGGGCUAGCGUUGUUCGGAUUUACUGGGCGUAAAGCGCACGUAGGCGGAUUGUUAAGUCAGGGGUGAAAUCCUGGAGCUCAACUCCAGAACUGCCUUUGAUACUGGCAAUCUUGAGUCCGGAAGAGGUGAGUGGAACUCCUAGUGUAGAGGUGGAAAUUCGUAGAUAUUAGGAAGAACACCAGUGGCGAAGGCGGCUCACUGGUCCGGUACUGACGCUGAGGUGCGAAAGCGUGGGAGCAAC